rnacentral:rRNA from 1 species
CCUACGGGUGGCAGCAGUGAGGAAUAUUGGUCAAUGGUCGGGAGACUGAACCAGCCAAGCCGCGUGAGGGAUGAAGGUACAGAGUAUCGUAAACCUCUUUUGUCAAGGGACAAAAUCAGGCUCGAGAGCCUGACCGAGGGUACUUGAAGAAAAAGCAUCGGCUAACUCCGUGCCAGCAGCCGCGGUAAUACGGAGGAUGCGAGCGUUAUCCGGAUUUAUUGGGUUUAAAGGGUGCGUAGGCGGACUGUUAAGUCAGCGGUAAAAGCCCGGGGCUCAACCCCGGCGAGCCGUUGAAACUGGCUGUCUUGAGAUGUCGAGAGGUAUGCGGAAUGCGCAGUGUAGCGGUGAAAUGCUUAGAUAUUGCGCAGAACUCCGAUUGCGAAGGCAGCAUACCGGCGGCGAUCUGACGCUGAGGCACGAAAGCGUGGGUAUCGAACAGGAUUAGAUACCCGGGUAGUC